rnacentral:rRNA from 1 species
CGAAAUGCGAAACGCAAUGCGAAUUGCAGAACCGCGAGUCAUCAGAUCUUUGAACGCAAGUGGCGGCAGCUUCGGCUGUCAUGUUUGUUUCAGUGUAUCCGGUUAAUUAC